UUAGUGGAAGCGUCUGGAAAGGCGCGCGAUACAGGGUGACAGCCCCGUACACAAAAAUACACAUAUUGUGAGCUCGACGAGUAGGGCGGGACACGUGGUAUCCUGUCUGAAUAUGGGGGGACCAUCCUCCAAGGCUAAAUACUCCUGACUGACCGAUAGUGAACCAGUACCGUGAGGGAAAGGCGAAAAGAACCCCGGCGAGGGGAGUGAAAAAGAACCUGAAACCGUGUACGUACAAGCAGUGGGAGCACGCUUAGGCGUGUGACUGCGUACCUUUUGUAUAAUGGGUCAGCGACUUAUAUUCUGUAGCAAGGUUAACCGAAUAGGGGAGCCGAAGGGAAACCGAGUCUUAACUGGGCGUUAAGUUGCAGGGUAUAGACCCGAAACCCGGUGAUCUAGCCAUGGGCAGGUUGAAGGUUGGGUAACACUAACUGGAGGACCGAACCGACUAAUGUUGAAAAAUUAGCGGAUGACUUGUGGCUGGGGGUGAAAGGCCAAUCAAACCGGGAGAUAGCUGGUUCUCCCCGAAAGCUAUUUAGGUAGCGCCUCGUGAAUUCAUCUCCGGGGGUAGAGCACUGUUUCGGCA
rnacentral:rRNA from 1 species